GACGAACGCUGGCGGCGUGCUUAACACAUGCAAGUCGAACGGACAGACCCUGCUUGCCCGGUACUCGCGUGGCGGACGGGUGAGUAACACGUAGGUGAUCUGCCCUGCACUUCGGGUUAAGCCUGGGAAAGUGGGCCUAAUACCGGAUAGGAGCCAUUUUGAGUGUGAUGGUUGGACAGUUUUGUCGGUGUUGGAUGAGCUGGCGGCCUAUCAGCUCGUUGGGGGGGUAAUGGCCUACCGAGGCGGCGGCGGGUAGCGGCACUGAGAGGGUGGACGGCCAUCCUGAGUCCGACGGGCGGCCGCGGCUCCGACGGGUGGCAGAAGGGGGGAAGAUUGAACAAUGGGCGCCAGCCUGGUGCAGCGAGGCCGCGUGUGGGAUAACGGUCUUAGGGUUGUAGACGCAUUGCGCGAGGGACGAUGCUUGUUGUGACGGUACCUAGAUAAGAAGCACCGGCUAACUACGUG
rnacentral:rRNA from 1 species